rnacentral:rRNA from 1 species
CAGUCGCCGCGGUAAUUCGAAGGGGGCUAGCGUUGUUCGGAUUUACUGGGCGUAAAGCGCACGUAGGCGGACUUUUAAGUCAGGGGUGAAAUCCCGGGGCUCAACCCCGGAACUGCCUUUGAUACUGGAAGUCUUGAGUAUGGUAGAGGUGAGUGGAAUUCCGAGUGUAGAGGUGAAAUUCGUAGAUAUUCGGAGGAACACCAGUGGCGAAGGCGGCUCACUGGACCAUUACUGACGCUGAGGUGCGAAAGCGUGGGGAGCAAACAGGAUUAGAUACCCCCGUAGUCCCUGUCUCUUAUAC